rnacentral:rRNA from 1 species
UACGAAGGGUGCAAGCGUUACUCGGAAUUACUGGGCGUAAAGGGUGCGUAGGUGGUUCGUUAAGUCUGAUGUGAAAGCCCUCGGCUCAACCUGGGAAUUGCAUUGGAUACUGGCGGGCUAGAGUGCGGUAGAGGGUAGUGGAAUUCCCGGUGUAGCAGUGAAAUGCGUAGAUAUCGGGAGGAACAUCCGUGGCGAAGGCGACUGCCUGGACCAGCACUGACACUGAGGCACGAAAGCGUGGGGAGCAAACAGGAUUAGAUACCCU